GGGGAUGUAGCUCAGCUGGGAGAGCGCUUGCUUCGCAUGUAAGAGGUCGAGGGUUCGAGCCCCUUCAUCUCCA
rnacentral:tRNA from 1 species